UACGGGGGGAGCAAGCGUUGUUCGGAUUUACUGGGCGUAAAGGGCGCGUAGGCGGCCAGCACAAGUCAGUUGUGAAAUCUCCGGGCUUAACUCGGAAAGGUCAACUGAUACUGUGCGGCUAGAGUGCAGAAGGGGCAACUGGAAUUCUCGGUGUAGCGGUGAAAUGCGUAGAUAUCAGGAGGAACACCAGCGGCGAAGGCGGCGCUCUGGGCCGGAACUGACGCUGAGGAGCGAAAGCGUGGGUAGCAAACAGG
rnacentral:rRNA from 1 species